rnacentral:miRNA from 1 species
GCUUGAUGGCAUUAUCAGAAUUGUUGUAUGGUUAUUCUAACAAGUCUGAUACAGUCAUGAUAUACAGUAACAAGAAUGAUACAAGUUUGACGACACAAGGUUGUAACAAUAUUGUUAUAUCAUGCAUGACUGUAUCGGAUUUGUUGGAACAACCUUGCAACAAAAGUCUGAUAAUACCAUCAAGC